AGGGUGUAAACGCUGCAGACUUGGUGUUGGAAGCCCUUUGGGGGCAUUCAGUGCCGGAGAGAGGUUGUUAAGUCUGCUACUUGGGGAGUACGUCCGCAAGGAUGAAACUUAAAGGAAUUGGCGGGGGAGCACCGCAACGGGAGGAGCGUGCGGUUUAAUUGGAUUCAACACCGUAAACUCACCAGGGAAGACUGUCACAUGAAGGCCGAGAUGAAGACUCUGCUAGAUUUUCAGAGAGGAGGUGCAUGGCGUCAGUG
rnacentral:rRNA from 1 species